rnacentral:piRNA from 3 species
UGUCAAGAUACAGAGAGGUCUCAUGC